AGUGAACGCUGGCGGCGUGCCUAAUACAUGCAAGUCGAACGGAGUGGCGCACGGGUGAGUAAUAUAUAGCUAAUCUGCCCCUUGCUGGAGGACAACAGUUAGAAAUGACUGCUAAUACUCCAUAGCAAGGGAUGAGACUAUAUCGUAUCAGCUAGUCGGUUGGGUAACGGCCUACCGAGGCUAUGACGCGUCACUGGUCUGAGAGGAUGAUCAGUAAAAUUGGAACUGAGACACCGUUCAAACUCCUACGGGAGGCAGCAGAAGGGAAUAUUACGCAAUGGGGGAAACCCUGACGCAGCAACGCCUCGUGGAGGAUGACAAGUUUCGGAGCGUAAACGCCUUUUGUUAGGGAAGCGGUACCAAAAGAAUAAGCACCGGCUAACUCCGUGCCAGCAGCCGCGGUAAUAG
rnacentral:rRNA from 1 species